rnacentral:rRNA from 1 species
GAUGAACGCUAGCUACAGGCUUAACACAUGCAAGUCGAGGGGAAACGCCAUCGAAAGCUUGCUUUUGAUGGGCGUCGACCGGCGCACGGGUGAGUAACGCGUAUCCAACCUGCCCAUCACUUGGGGAUAACCUUGCGAAAGUAAGACUAAUACCCAAUGAUAUCUCUAGAAGACAUCUGAAAGAGACUAAAGAUUUAUCGGUGAUGGAUGGGGAUGCGUCUGAUUAGCUUGUUGGCGGGGUAACGGCCCACCAAGGCAACGAUCAGUAGGGGUUCUGAGAGGAAGGUCCCCGACAUUGGAACUGAGACACGGGCCAAACUCCUACGGGAGGCAGCAGUGAGGAAUAUAGGUGAAUGGGCGAGAGCCUGAACCAGCCAAGUAGCGUGCAGGAAGACGGCCCUAUGGGUUGUAAACUGCUUUUAUAAGGGAAUAAAGUGAGAGUCGUGACUCUUUUUGUAUGUACCUUAUGAAUAAGGACCGGCUAAUUCCGUG